UGGCGACAGGGAGCGGAACCCGAAAGCCUGUCUCAGUUCGGAUUGGAGUCUGCAACCCGACUCCAUGAAGCUGGAUUCGCUAGUAAUCGCGAAUCAGAAUGUCGCGGUGAAUACGUUCCCGGGUCCUGUACACACCGCCCGUCACACCAUGGGAGUCAGCAACGCCCGAAGUCAGUGACCUAACCGAAAGGGAGGAGCUGCCGAAGGCGGGGCCGGUAACUGGGGUGAAGUCGUAACAAGGUAAC
rnacentral:rRNA from 1 species